AUUGAACGCUGGCGGCAUGCCUUACACAUGCAAGUCGAACGGCAGCACGGGAGCAAUCCUGGUGGCGAGUGGCGAACGGGUGAGUAAAGUAUCGGAACGUGCCCAGUCGUGGGGGAUAACGUAGCGAAAGCUACGCUAAUACCGCAUACGAUCUAUGGAUGAAAGCGGGGGAUCGCAAGACCUCGCGCGAUUGGAGCGGCCGAUAUCAGAUUAGGUAGUUGGUGGGGUAAAGGCCCACCAAGCCGACGAUCUGUAGCUGGUCUGAGAGGACGACCAGUCACACUGGGACUGAGACACGGCCCAGACUCCUACGGGAGGCAGCAGUGGGGAAUUUUUGGACAAUGGGCGCAAGCCUGAUCCAGCAAUGCCGCGUGCAGGAUGAAGGCCUUCGGGUUGUAAACUGCUUUUGUACGGAGCGAAAAGGCUCGCACUAAUACUGUGGGCUCAUGACGGUACCGUAAGAAUAAGCACCGGCUAACUACGUGCCAGCCGCCGCCGUAA
rnacentral:rRNA from 1 species